rnacentral:lncRNA from 1 species
UUGAAUUUAUAAAAUAUUUCAUUCAAUUGAACAACUUUAUAGCAAUUGUUUUCUCUUCUCCUUCCUCUUUUUAUUCAUUUUUUCCGAAGGAGUAUGUAUUGACAUGUAUUGAAAUAUUACAAACAUAAUUCCUUUUUUUUCUUUCUCUUAUCCUUCUAUUUUUUCUUCCUCUUAUCCUUCUAUUUUUUCAUUCCUUUUUUUUUUCUUUUCUAUUUUCUUUUUCUAUUUUUUUAAUUCUUUUUCUACCAUCUUCUGAAAUAUUACAAACAUAAUUAUUCAACCUCACACAACUCCAAACAAGACUCUUUCAACCCUUUGAAUAGGGUGAUAAUAUUGUUUUUUACUUCUCGGCUUGUAAUGAGUUUUAAACAAAAAAGGGAGAAUAAGCUCAAGGGGAUUUCAAACAAGGGAUGAAAUUAUUUCAGGGUUGGCUUUUUGGCUAACUGGCUAAAAAAAACAAAAAAACAAAAACAAAA